rnacentral:rRNA from 1 species
UACGUAGGGUGCAAGCGUUGUCCGGAAUUAUUGGGCGUAAAGAGCUCGUAGGCGGUUUGUCGCGUCGAAUGUGAAAACCCGGGGCUCAACCCCGGGCCUGCAUUCGAUACGGGCAGACUAGAGUUCGGUAGGGGAGUCUGGAAUUCCUGGUGUAGCGGUGAAAUGCGCAGAUAUCAGGAGGAACACCGGUGGCGAAGGCGGGACUCUGGGCCGAUACUGACGCUGAGGAGCGAAAGCGUGGGGAGCAAACAGGAUUAGAACUACCCGAG